CAAUAGCGUAUAUUAAAGUUGUUGCAGUUAAAAAGCUCGUAGUUGGAUUUGUGGUGUACGCCGGCGGCCCGUCGCAAGACGGAGCUUGCUUGCGUCGCCAUCCUUGGGUGGAUCCUGUGUGGCAUUCAGUUGUCGUGCAGGGGAUGCCCAUCGUUUACUGUGAAAAAAUUAGAGUGUUCAAAGCAGGCUUAUGCCGUUGAAUAUAUUAGCAUGGAAUAAUAAGAUAGGACCUUGGUACUAUUUUGUUGGUUUGCGCACCAAGGUAAUGAUUAAUAGGGACAGUUGGGGGUAUUCGUAUUCCAUUGUCAGAGGUGAAAUUCUUGGAUUUUUGGAAGACGAACUACUGCGAAAGCAUUUACCAAGGAUGUUUNCAUUAA
rnacentral:rRNA from 1 species